AGGUAAGCUACUAAGAGCGAAUGGUGGAUGCCUUGACUGGUAAAGGCGAUGAAGGACGUACUAGACUGCGAUAAGCUACGGGGAGCUGUCAAGAAGCUUUGAUCCGUAGAUUUCCGAAUGGGGCAACCCAAUGUAUAGAGAUAUACAUUACCUAUAUAGGAGCGAACGAGGGGAAUUGAAACAUCUUAGUACCCUCAGGAAAAGAAAUCAAUAGAGAUUGCGUCAGUAGCGGCGAGCGAAAGCGCAAGAGGGCAAACCCAGUGCUUGCACUGGGGGUUGUAGGACUGCAAUGUGCAAGAGGUGAGUUUAGCAGAACAUUCUGGAAAGUAUAGCCAUAGAGGGUGAUAGUCCCGUAUGCGAAAAACAAACCUUAGCUAGCAGUAUCCUGAGUAGGGCGGGACACGAGAAAUCCUGUCUGAAGCUGGGUCGACCACGAUCCAACCCUAAAUACUAAUACCAGAUCGAUAGUGCACAAGUACCGUGAGGGAAAGGUGAAAAGAACUGAGGUGAUCAGAGUGAAAUAGAACCUGAAACCAUUUGCUUACAAUCAUUCAGAGCCCUAUGUAGCAAUACAGGGUGAUGGACUGCCUUUUGCAUAAUGAGCCUGCGAGUUGUGGUGUCUGGCAAGGUUAAGCAAACGCGAAGCCGUAGCGAAAGCGAGUCUGAAUAGGGCGCUUAGUCAGAUGCUGCAGACCCGAAACGAAGUGAUCUAUCCAUGAGCAAGUUGAAGCUAGUGUAAGAACUAGUGGAGGACUGAACCCAUAGGCGUUGAAAAGCCCCGGGAUGACUUGUGGAUAGGGGUGAAAGGCCAAUCAAACUUCGUGAUAGCUGGUUCUCUCCGAAAUAUAUUUAGGUAUAGCGUUGUGUCGUAAUAUAAGGGGGUAGAGCACUGAAUGGGCUAGGGCAUACACCAAUGUACCAAACCCUAUCAAACUCCGAAUACCUUAUAUGUAAUCACAGCAGUCAGGCGGCGAGUGAUAAAAUCCGUCGUCAAGAGGGAAACAACCCAGACUACCAGCUAAGGUCCCUAAAUCUUACUUAAGUGGAAAACGAUGUGAAGUUACUUAAACAACCAGGAGGUUGGCUUAGAAGCAGCCAUCCUUUAAAGAAAGCGUAAUAGCUCACUGGUCUAGUGAUUUUGCGCGGAAAAUAUAACGGGGCUAAAGUAAGUACCGAAGCUGUAGACUUAGUUUACUAAGUGGUAGGAGAGCGUUCUAUUUGCGUCGAAGGUAUACCGGUAAGGAGUGCUGGAGCGAAUAGAAGUGAGCAUGCAGGCAUGAGUAGCGAUAAUUAAUGUGAGAAUCAUUAACGCCGUAAACCCAAGGUUUCCUACGCGAUGCUCGUCAUCGUAGGGUUAGUCGGGUCCUAAGUCGAGUCCGAAAGGGGUAGACGAUGGCAAAUUGGUUAAUAUUCCAAUACCAACAUUAGUGUGCGAUGGAAGGACGCUUAGGGCUAAGGGGGCUAGCGGAUGGAAGUGCUAGUCUAAGGUCGUAGGAGGUUAUACAGGCAAAUCCGUAUAACAAUACUCCGAGAAC
rnacentral:rRNA from 1 species